CCGCAAGCUACUUGUUAGCCGUCAGAACUUUAAAACCUAGAACACCGUACAAAGAAUGAACGUGUAUAUUAAGGACUGCCGGCAACAUUACUGGUGAUGCACUUCUUGCAGAUCGAGUCUGACAGCCCACACCACAUGAAACUGCAAGAUACAGCCAGUCUUUCCACUACUUCUCCAGAGUAAUACCCAGCUCCCCUAAAAGCCACCUCUGGGGAUCUCUGAGGACAAGAGUACAGAUGCCUUAGGGGAUGCAUCGACAAGGCAGCCAUCUGACCAAAUGCGGACACCUUGAUGGGAAUAUUAGGCUUCGAGAGUAUGGGACCGCAGUCUGUACAUUUGGUGAAGGAAUUGAUUUGAAUCAAACUGCUGAAUAAUUUUAGGUCGAUAAUUGUAUCAACCGGAAGUGACAGAUUCAAACCAGUAUAAAUGCCGGAGGAAUCAGCACAGAAGCGCUUCACAGGAGGCUCCCAAGCACUGAAGAUGUCACCUAGAAAGGGGACGAAACGUUUGCAACAAAAACUCCCAGCUCGGCGAACAGAACCACAACAUUUAAGUAUCAAAUAUAAAACCAAAAAAGAAAGUGAGAGAACAAGAAAAAUGGAAAAUUCAAAAUAAUUUCACGGGAAAAAGGAUGAUGUGAAUGCCUGCAUUCAUAUUUUUUGUUUAGAAAUCCUGAAUGGUUAAAAACAAGUUAAAUCCACCUGUUGAGAAACAAAAGUCUGAACACUCUUAACUCAAAACAUUCUAUGUGGAUAAUAUGUAUUUAUUGAC